UACAGAGGGUGCAAGCGUUGUUCGGAAUCAUUGGGCGUAAAAGCGCACGUAGGCGGUCUGCUAAGUCGGGUGUGAAAAGCCCCAGGCUCAACCUGGGAAGUGCACUCGAAACUGGCGGACUUGAAUGUCGGAGAGGGUGGUGGAAUUCCGAGUGUAGAGGUGAAAUUCGUAGAUAUUCGGAGGAACACCAGUGGCGAAGGCGACCACCUGGACGAACAUUGACGCUGAGGUGCGAAAGCGUGGGGAGCAAACAGG
rnacentral:rRNA from 1 species